GACAAUGCUGUCACAAGUUUCUUUGUUCUCCUAGUAAACAUUUACCUAAGAAUGAUGUUUCAUUAAUUCCAUCAGGAGUAAGAUUAAAUUUGUUACUGUUGUUGGUAAUUAUUAAAAUGUUUAUUUCUUAUAUUUUAGAAGUCUUAGGUAGACUGGCGAGUUAAUCAUAGUGGCUGUGAGGGUAACGAUAAUUGUGAUUGCAGAUUAAUUAAUUAAGGAAAAAGUCAACUAUUUAGUUUGAGAUACUAGGAUGUGACUAUAGGUGUGAGCAAGCCUGUUAAUCUAACUGUUUCAACCGACAAUUCAAGUAUUUCAAGUUGGAGGAUUGCAGUACCUGUUUCAACGUUGUUUCUUCUAAUUGUAUUUGUGGUGGGAGCUUGUGUCUCUAUACAUCGAAAGCGGUCCAACAGGUGUAAUAAGCUACCAAAUCUUUCAAUAUCAAGAUGCGAGAUUGAGUCAUGUCAACCAACCAUUUUUGGUAUUUGCAGAAGACCGGAUUGCGAUUGCGAAUGGCUUACUUCUGCUAGACGAUCUUGUGUUUUGUUUGUAUAUUCGACUGUCAACAAAGAUCAUGCACAGAUGUGUUGCGUCGUGUUCAUUACAGUCAGAGAAAAGAGUGGAAUUAAUGCAACUUCUCAUGAAUUUGAAGAGAAUGCAGUGGCAAGGGAUAUCUCACAAUGGGCAUGCAAGUACACACAUUAGACAUGCAGACUACAUUAUCUACAUAUGCAGUAAAGAGCUGUAUGAAAUUUUCAACAAUCAACCCAACGAUCUAGCGGGUGAUCAUCACUCUCAAGAGUUACGUACUUUGUGUCACUGUAUUCAAUGUCUAUUGUGGAAUCCAAGAGAGUUUGAGCGUAAAUGCAUACCGGUUAUGUUUCAAAUGAACGAUGAAGUUGAUUAUUCGCCUUGUAUUAUGCACGUUAUGAAAUUCUACCACUGGCCAAAAGACAAAGAACAACCCAACAAACAAAUCAGCAGAGUCUACCCAAAUGAACCGUUGGACACUUGCAGUGUUGACACUGCUGAUGAAUUUGCUGUGUAACUAUUACGUCUAAAGUAUUCGCCAUGCCCUUGCAGUUGGACUGUUUUUUUAAUAAUCUUCACUAAAUGGUCACUUUUUCAAUUGUCAUAGCAAUCAUGUUAUGAUAUACUGUAUGUAUGUUGUGAUGUAGCUUGAGCACAAGAUACUAAGUACUAAGUACAGUUUAAGUUAAUUAUUAAUUAAUUAAAAGAUUACAACAAUGUA